rnacentral:rRNA from 1 species
UACGUAGGGUGCGAGCGUUAAUCGGAAUUAUUGGGCGUAAAGCGUGCGCAGGCGGUUUAAUAAGUCAGUUGUGAAAUCCCUGAGCUCAACUUAGGAACUGCAAUUGAUACUGUUAAACUAGAGUACGACAGAGGGGGGUAGAAUUCCACGUGUAGCAGUGAAAUGCGUAGAGAUGUGGAGGAAUACCGAUGGCGAAGGCAGCCCCCUGGAUCGAUACUGACGCUCAUGCACGAAAGCGUGGGGAGCAAACAGG